UACGUAGGGUGCAAGCGUUGUCCGGAAUUAUUGGGCGUAAAGAGCUCGUAGGCGGUUUGUCGCGUCUGCUGUGAAAACCCGAGGCUCAACCUCGGGCCUGCAGUGGGUACGGGCAGACUAGAGUGCGGUAGGGGAGAUUGGAAUUCCUGGUGUAGCGGUGAAAUGCGCAGAUAUCAGGAAGAACACCCGUGGCGAAGGCGGCUCUCUGGGACGGUACUGACGCUGAGACGCGAAAGCGUGGGGAGCAAACAGG
rnacentral:rRNA from 1 species